GCCAUUUGAGGGUCACGGAAUCGCUUGUUUCCCAUUUUUGUGAAAUCUGCUCUGUUUUCCCAGAAGGAACUUCGGCACUGCCGAGUAAAUGAUGUGGUCAGAGUACCGACUAAACCUGAAUUUAUUAGAAACUAGAGCUUCAAGACUGAAAGAGAAAAUCUGGRUUUGACAAGGAGUAUUCGUCAAUUAAUCAAGAAAAAACAACGAGAAAUAACACCAUCASAUGUGAAAAUUGAAGGAUUGUGCACACUUAAAGAAAAGAAAUAGGACCAAAAAUUAGAUGGAGUUGAGUGCUUAUUGAGGAAGGAAAACAAAGAAAAAUUGUGUUCAAGUGGCCURACAUAUCGAAGGAAAAGGCGAUAUAUCCAGAGAAAAGAACGAAGCGCAGGACAAAGAAACCUUUUUUCGAUCAGCGACUGAAAGGGAAUAGAAUAGGAGAUAAGAGAUURGACAAGUUCUCCUCGGGAAAGCACCGUAGGACAACGUAGAAAGCAAACAAACUCAAUGCUCCUAAGAUCAUUUAGCGCUAUUCUGUGCCUUCAAGCAGUACUUCCAUUUUAGUCAGCCAUUGUGGCGUCACUUAAUGAAGUUUGACUCUAAAGCGAAUAUUCAACAUUUUGUCGGUUUACAAGUGUAGCUUUUAUAUUGAGACCCACUACAUAUCUGUAUUUACGAAUGARCUAUGGCUACUAAACGACAAGGACUUCAACUGGCGCAAACCGCUUUUCCUGACUACUUUAGUGAACCGAUAAAUACAAGCAAGACCACGCCAGAGAAAGAUUACAUCGGCGUCCAGGACUUUGUUCGUCUGCCUUCUUGCAGCAAACARAACAGUUCCGAAUCGGAAAAACAACACAAGGCCACUUACCGAGAGAUAUUCGAGUGGUUCCAGAAGGAAUACGGACUUCCGAAUUUCGUGUUUGGAAAUGGUGACUCUGAAGUAACGAGGCCAGCUAUUAAAUCUAUCAAGGCGGGGGAAACGAAGUAGCAUUAACGAGAUUGCUUGAAAUAUCCCGUGCAWUUUCUACAUAAAAAUCAAAGGUUUGUUUAAAAAAAAAAGAGAAAAGUGCAUCUCGAGUUACCUUAAAAGAUGUCUCGAGGUGUUGACCAUGACAGGAAUCAAAAAUACUGAUCCAAAUUGGAUUUCCAUGGCUCACGGUAAAAAAGAAAGAAGAAAAAAAGCAAGAGUUCGUCAGCUGCCAUGAGG